ensembl:lncRNA
CCCAAACGGGUUUCAACAAACUCACCUACAACUGCAACUCUGCUUACAACUAGAGCCCCUCCUACAGAAACAACACAACUUACAUCUACGGCUGAACCAACAACCACAACUGCGUCAACAUCUACAACUGAAAAAUCAACUAUACCCGAACAAAGCACCACAACACAGACAGCAACAACAUCCCUACAUACAACAAGUACAGCUCAAUCUACAACCCUGAUUUCAACAAACUCAGCUACACCUACAUCUCGGGUUACAAUUACAGCCCCUCCUACAGAAACAACAACAACACAACUUACAUCUACAGCUGAACCAACAACCAUAACUGUUUUAACAUCUACGGCUGAACCAACAACCACAACUGUUUUAACAUCUACAACAAAACAAUCAAUUACAUCCCAACACAGCACCACAACACAGACAGCAACAACAUACCUACCUACAACAAGUACAGCUCAAUCUACAACCCUGGUUACAACAAACAUGACUGUUACAUCAAGCUCAGCUACACAAACGACACAAUUCUGCUUAAAAGUGACACAACAGCUGAUACAAUACUGCUCAGCAACAACUGAAACUCUGUCUACAACCACUGCCAAACCUACACAAAAACCUGACUCAACAAACUCACCUGCAUCUGCAACAACAGAAUCUAUGACUGUUACAGUAAACUCAGUCCCUUCCACAGAAACAACAACAACAACAACACAACUUACAUCUACGGCUGAACCAACAACUACAACCAGAGCUCAAUCAACAACAACCCCAGGCACAACCCAGACAGUUUUUGUUAGUUUUUCCAGCAGUGAAAUUUUUGUCUCUGAUCUGUCAAAUCCAGCUUCAGAAGCAUAUAAAAACAGAGAAAAGAAUGUCAACGAUACGUUGACACCAUUCUUUAGAAAUGCAUUGCCCUCCUUCAAAGGACUGGCAGUUAUUCAGUUCCGUAAUGGGUCAAUCAUCACUGAUAUGAAUGUGACAUUUGGAACCUUACCCAGUGAUGUUGAGAUAGAAAACACUAUUAUGAAAGCUAAUGCCACUCUCAGUAUCACCAGUGUAACAAUAUGGAAGCCCUUCACCACAACUACCAAAGCCACUACAACCAGUUCCACUACAAUUACAACUACAACCACACCUAACACAACAACAGCAGCAGCAACAACAACAACCACAACAUCUACUGCCAAUCCUAAUACAACAGCAUCACCAGCAACCACAACAUCUACUGUCAAUCCUAAUACAACAGCAUCACUAGCAACCACAACAUCUACUGCCAAUCCUAUUACAACACAACAACAACAACCACCACCACAACAUCUAAUGUCAAUCCGAAUACAACAGCAUCAACAGCAACCACAACAUCUACUGUCAAUCCUAAUACAACAGCAUCAACAGCAACCACAACAUCUACUGUCAAUCCUAUUACAAUAGCAACAACAACCACAACAUCUACUGUCAAUCCUAAUACAACAGCAUCAACAGCAACCACAACAUCUACUGCCAAUCCUAUUACAACAACAGCAACAGCAACAACAACAACCACAACAUCUAUUGUCAAUCCUAAUACAACAGCAUCACCAGCAACCACAACAUCUACUGCCAAUCUUAAUACAACAGCAUCAACAGCAACCACAACAUCUACUGUCAAUCCUAAUACAACAGCAUCACCAACAACCACAACAUCUACUGCCAAUCCUAAUACAACAGCAUCAACAACAACCACAACAUCUAUUGUCAAUCCUAUUACAACAGCAACAACAACAACCACAGCAUCUACUGCCAAUCCUAAUACAACAGUAUCAUCAACAACAGCAACCACAACAUCUACUGCCAAGCCUAAUACAACAGCAUCAACAGCAACCACAACAUCUACUGUCAAUCCUAAUACAACAGCACCAACAGCAACCACAACAACAACCACAACAUCUACUGCCAAACCUAAUACAACUGUAACAACAACACCCACAACCACAACAACAACAACAACAACAACAAAAACAACAACAACAACAACAACAUCUACUGCCAAUCCUAAAACAACAGCAACAACAACCACAAUAACAACAGCAGCAACCACAACAGCAGCACCAGCACGUCCUCAGCCAACUGUUGCCAUACAGAUUGUCAUUAUAGAGGUGUUUGUUCCAGCACUGAAAGACCCUCAAACUCCGGAAUUUAAAAGCCUAGCCACAAAAGUAGAGACUAUGUUUGAUGAAGUCUAUAAGAAAAAGUUUGGACCUCGUUUCAUCAGGACCAUCGUGAUUGCUUUCAUAGCUGUUGCCAGGACCCGGGCAGACUCAAACGUACAGGCGGAGGUUAAGUUAGUGUUUAGUGAAGUGUCCACUGAACCAAUCCCCAGCAACACCGACAUUGUGGAGACUCUAAAAGAAGCAGCUGCUAAUUCAACUGGAGGCUUCAACCUCACCCUUGAUGCCACCUCUAUUACUGUCAUUAAAUCAGUGCAGAUAAUUCCGCUGACCAUCCUCACCAAUGGAACCUUUGUGGCUGCUCUUUCAAAUAAAAGUUCUACUGAAUUUCAGAACAGGGCUUCGAUGAUAAAAACAGGGCUCGAACCUUUUUUCCUGACUGAUUACCCUGCAUCAUUCAGCACCAUAUCCGUAACAAACUUCAGUGAUGCCAGUGUAAAAUUAAAGAGUGUGCCCAAGAUCCAAAACAGCAUGGAUGUAGUAUUUGGAGCGGACGCUGCUCUACCCAAUAGCACCCAGAUAGUGAACACUGUAGUUCGAGCAGCCAGAAACAACACAUUACCCUUCCAGAUCUUCACUUCUUCAAUUAUAAUAAAUGGAACAGAAUAUUCAUCAGGUGAAGUCAGCAGCAGGAUCAGUGUGUUGACCACUUCGUUCCUGGUUAUGGUGUCACUUCUGGUUCCAUGGUUUAACUGACCUUAACCACUCAUGACAAGAUAACUGAUUCAGCCACUCUGAAUCUUGCCUUUUAUGUCUGUUCAAAUGAAGGACUCAACUUAAGGAUGAAUGUAGCUAGUGAUGCUAUUUAAUGAGUAGGAAUGAAAGUAAAAAUGUAAAUAAUCCUAUUCUCAGCACUUUAAACUAGAUCAAAGCAAUAAUGGAUUCCAAAUCAGUUCUGGAUCUGUAUGUAAACAAUCAGUAUUGUAUAAAGCACUAUAUAAAUAAAGGCAAAUAUAAAUGUAUAUAAAUGUACCUGCAUGUUUUCAUAGAUUUACUUCAGAACCCAUCAUUGUGCACCAUAGACAGAAAAAUAACUACUGUGCAUAUUUAAAAUAAACCCUAUUGACACUCAGACUUCCAGUUUUGCCACCUCCGAAAUGACCAUGUUGUGAAGCAGGUAUUUGAUGGCAGACUCAAAAUGUAAAGGCUGAACCAAUAAAAAUAUGUUGGCUAAAAUACUAGCGCAGAUGAAGGCCAUGAGCAUAUAUGCUGCUGGUAAGCUAGAGAGAAUAGAAGUAUUGGUAAAAGACAUUAAGGAAGUGGUUAAAAGCC